rnacentral:Y_RNA from 15 species
GGCUGGUCCGAAGGUAGUGAGUUAUCUCAAAUGAUUGUUCACAGUCAGUUACAGAUCGAUCUCCUUGUUCUCUCUUUCCCUCCCUUCUCACUACUGCACUCGACUAGUCUUUU